CACGGGCACGUCCCCGCGGCCAGGCCCGCCCCGUGGCUGCCGGUCGCCACGGUAACCGCUCACGGCGCGGUGCCGGCGGGGUGCGCUCCCAAAUGGCUUCCGGCCGGCCCCUCGACUGCCUCUACGACCCUCUGUACACGCUGUCGAGUGAGAAGGACCAUAUGAAGGCAAAUAUCCAACUUGUCGGUGAUAAAUUGGUCAAGGUACCAAUUUUCACAAGUAUGUUUAGUAGCUUGAUCCAUUUCCCGAGCUACAGUCUGUGCUUGGACGGCAAAGAUCCAGUGCCUCCAUUUAUUGACCGAAGAUGGAGAGGGAGGGCUCAGCAGCGCCUGGAGGCUCUUCAGCAGCUUGCUGUAGGUCAACCUUCUCUUCAGAUACCCCAAAUCGUGUAUGAAGAUCCUGAAGUUAGUGGAAGGAAUCGUUACAAAUAUUUUGCACGACCUCUCAUCCCUUCUAAUAUGCUGCUUCCACCAAAUGUUCAUUAUGCAAUAGAAAUGACAGAGCCCUUUAUCCUUUCAGCUGCAAGAGACAGCAAGAUCUUUGGUCCCAAGUUACGAACUUUGGGCACACAGACAGAUUACAGGGAUGGUGAAGCCCAAACAGAUCCCUAUUCCCCUGAGUAUGUAGUUCCCAGUGGCUCAGUCCCUGAACUUCUGACACUUGCUACUCUCACUUGGGGUCGGGGGCUACCAGCGGGACUAGCCGAGGUGGAGAUGAUUGAACGUGCCCGGGAAAAACGUGCGUGGGAAGCAACUCUUCCAGCCAUGGACAAUGCCUCACAAAUUGCGAAGAGGAGGAAAAUGAUGGAUGAUAUGGAGAGGAAGGAGUGGGCCUUUAGAGAACAGGAAAUAGAAAAGUUGCAGGAGAUCCGACUGAGAGUCUUAAAGAAGCUGCUGGAGAGGCAACAGGAGAAACAGAAUGAGCUGGAUGCCAAGCGCUUGGAUGACCACUGGCAAAAUCAUCAGAAGGCUAAAAAAGAUAAAAUGAAAAAGAUUCAGCAUGACUUUGUACUGAUGCUCAGAAAACUGAUAGCUAAGAGGAAGAAUGUGUUGGGGAAACUGGAGAGACGAGAUAUCAUCAAAGAGUAUACUGACUUUGCAUCACAAACAUAUGCUCCUUUAUCUAGGAUUGGUUAUUUCCCAGACAACCAUUCCGAACGCUUUGUUGUAAAAAACUUCUAUCUUAACACCUUUGCAGGACUGUGUGAACUGGAAGCAGCUCUCCCACAUUCCGUCACCCAGGCUGAGAUUAAAGCUCCAAAGCCUAAGUACACUACUACUAAGACUGGAUUUAUUAAAAGAUCAGCAAGACUAGAGGUGGAGCUGGCACUGGUUCACCAGGCACUAUUGGAGAAGAAGAAUAAAGUCAAAGAGCCAAAGAAGCCCCCUCGCUUCCUUGAAAAAAUAGAAAAGCCUGUUCCUCGCCCUCCCACUCCAAUUCUGGAAAAACCAUCAGUUAAGGAAGAGGAAAUAGAACUGGCAGUGAUCUGUCUGCAGAAGUUGCUCCGAGGAAGGGCUGUUCAGAACUUGAUGUUUGAAGAGAAGGAGAAGCGGAUGGAACUGAUCCAAGAGCUGCGCACCACUCACGCACUCCAGGAAGAUGGACAGCUGCUUCUGAAAGCAGAGGAGCAAAUGAUACGGGCCUUACAGCAGCAGCGUGACUUGCAAAUGCACGAGCUGUCAUCAACGGAAAGCCGCUUGGCCCAGGAAGAAGGAAGGGCACUGGGAAACCUGUUUGAUUUCCUGUCCAAAGAGCUGUUGAGGCUGCAGGAAGAGCGGAAGAUCCACGCUUUUGUCAUGCUGGCUGAGAGGCAGAGGCGGAUGCGGGAGGCGGAAGAGAGCGGACGCCGUCAGGUGGAAGAGAGACGUCGGCAGGAGGAAGAUGAGAUUUUCAGACAGGUGGUGAAGGUGCAGCAGAGCACUAUUGACUCCUACUUGGAAGACAUUAUCCUGAGUACCAUGGAGAACACAGCUGAAGAACAAGCCAGGGAAGAGAUUCAGAGAAUGGCCGUAGAAAUCAAUGACAUUGCUUAUGAAAUGGAAAGUCGUCGAACUCACCUACAGUCAGAAGAAAUUGUAGCAGAGCUGGUUUAUGCUUUCCUGAUCCCAGAGAUUGAGAAAACUUCUAUCAGAGAAAAAGUGAGGCAGUCCCAGAGAAAGCACAUCUAUGCUGCUCAUCAGAUUAUCCACAGAAGCAUAGAAGAGUUAUUGGCUGAUCCAGCACUACAUCAGGAGACGUCUGCCAGCAGGAUAGAGGGAGAUCCUCCAGCUGGGACAGGUGGUGGUCUGAGCCCUUCUGAUGGGUCAGACAAGGAUGGCCCAGCCUCCUAGAGACACGUGAGCAAGGGCAUCCAGAAUGCAAAAGCACCUCUCUCCCCUUUAGUCUGUCCCUCCUGCUGCCCACCAGCAAUAUUGUCCUGGAACCACGCUCUGUACAUUUCAGUGUGGCAGCCCCAGUCCAAGCCCAGCCCCCCAACUAGCUCUGGACCUCAUAAGCUAAUUUUCCUCUUCUAAUUAUUAAGAGAAGCUUGAGUGAGAGACCAGUGUUAGCACUCCUUGUUUGUCUUCCUGCCACAGGCCAACAGAGAUCUGCACCCGAGCUUUUGAUGGGGGCUAUGCAGAGAGGAUGCUGGCUUUGCCUUGUUUGCAAGCACGGGGGUGCUCCAGCUCAGGAUGUCAGAAACCAGCAGGCUGCAGACAAGCGCAGUGCAUCUGAUCAGAGAGCUGUCAGGGACUUGCUCAGCUCUCAAGCACUCACCUGUCAAAAUUCCUCAGGUCUGUGGGUUUAGCCUCUCAAAGGUACAUUUACGCCAAUACCAACAUCAAAUGCACCAGUUUUUGGAGGGGCAGGCAUCGCCACAACUAAACACCCCGAAUGCUUACUCACUGAUGCUCCAGCUACAACUCAUGCAAUAAAUAGCAGUGUUAGCUCUCAGUGCUAACGUGAUAAUGGGCUGAUAUCUGUGCAAUUCCAUCAUUUCUCUGAAACUGA